CCCCCUUCUUUCACUUUUUUCAAUCUCUCCUUUCACUUCGGUUUUCUGAGUUGGUGUUUUGCCGAUUUCUCCAUGUUUUCUGUGCUUCUUUGUGUGGUGUCUCCUUUCACUUCGGUUUUCUGAGUUGGUGUUUUGCCGAUUUCUCCAUGUUUUCUGUGCUUCUUUGUGUGGUGUCUCCUUUCACUUCGGUUUUCUGAGUUGGUGUUUUGCCGAUUUCUCCAUGUUUUCUGUGCUUCUUUGUGUGGUGUCUCCUUUCACUUCGGUUUUCUGAGUUGGUGUUUUGCCGAUUUCUCCAUGUUUUCUGUGCUUCUUUGUGUGGUGUCUCCUUUCACUUCGGUUUUCUGAGUUGGUGUUUUGCCGAUUUCUCCAUGUUUUCUGUGCUUCUUUGUGUUGUGACUCAUUUUUCUAGAAAUUUUCAGUUCAAUCGUUGUCAAAUUCUUCUUCUUUUUCUUCUCAACUUAUUUUAUUUUUAGGGUUGUUCAAAAACAUCAUUAGAAACUUGUCGCCUCUCCAUCUUGUAAAGUUUUAAGAAUGAAAUUCUUGAAUUCGUUGGAUGUUGUUGAUAUAUAUAUACAUAUAUGUAUAGAAAAAUGUUAAAAUAAUUCACUCAUUUACUAAAUUGAUUCAUUGUAUUGUAACCAUCAUUAGAAAAAUGGAUCACCUCCAAAAGCCAUCAUUACAAUCAUGGCCUUCAUCACUACUUUCCUUCUCCCAAGCCUUCUUUAUUCCAAAAAAUCCCCCCUCCCCCUCUCCCUUUCCAUGUUUUCAGCUUUCAUCUGCACUCUCUUCAUUCUUUUCCUUUCCAAUUGUGUAAGUCUCAAUCUAGAGUUCUUCUCAACAAUAUUUUGAGAGCUGUACAUCUACCUCUUUUGUACUUAGCUUACUUGUCAUGCCUAGUGCUAUAUUGUUGUCACUCUCCUAUCCCUUCAUUUUUCUAAAGAAGCUGCUAAUUUAAUUAACAUUCUUUUUGUUGUAUCAAUUAUUAUUAUGUGGUUCAAUUUGACUUCUUUUUUUCUUUUCUUUUCUUUUAUUAGUAUUUUUUUUUUUUUGCCAUGAAUAGAGACUUCAAUUUUUUAUCAUGAUUUAUAUGGACUUUUUUGGUUAAAUGUAGUUACUUUGGAAUUGGGAUUAUCUUUGUAUUUGGAAGUAGUUAUUUAUAUAUUAUAUAAGCAUCUUUUAUUUAGAAGGUGUAUUGUGACAAGAUAAGUCUAAUUGUUGCAUUGUGUUUGAUUUUAUAUGUGAAUAUGAUUCUUACAUGUCAUGUGGAAUUUUUGAGUGAAAUUCUUUUGAUUUGAUAUCUUCUUAUGGUGUUCAUGAGAGUGAUUUGGAUUGGACUCUUUGUUGAUUUUGUUAUGUAUUUGUCUUGAAUUAAUAUCUUUAAACAUAACUCUACAAAGUCAUAUUUGUGAAGUUGUCAAUUUGGUUGUAUGUUUAGUUUGUAGGUUGUCACAUCUUGAUAAAUAGCAAUGUGGAUGCAAGUUUGAUGUAUGUUGUGAGUCCUCUAAAGCUUGAAUUUUGGAUAAGUAUCUUUUUUCAUCUUAUCAAUGUAUAAUUGACUACAACUCAAUCUUAGCAUUAUAAUCCUUCUUGAGUUUAAUAAACUCAAAAUAUUAUGAGAUCAAUUCAAUAUGAGAGUUGUCUAUAGUUUAAGUUUACAUUUUCUAUUGCUACUAAAUAAAAAUAAAAAUUCUACCUAUGCAAUCUAACACUACAAUUCAACUAGGAUCUUAGUUCCAUCUUACCACCCCAAGAACUUUAAAUGCUCCUUCCAAGUUUCACAAAAACUCUUUAAGACUUAAAAACCUCGUAAAAGCUUCACAUAAAGAAUCAAGUCUACAUCUUACAAUUAAGACCUCUUCCAUAAUUCUAUGUUCCCUUUGGAAAUGAGGAAUGCUUUCUUAGAACACCUUACAAUUGUCCUUCUAAGAUUCUUUACAAAUUCGAUGAGCUACUAAUUCUUCGAUCUUGCUACUCUUGAUUUAAGGAGAAAAGCCUUAUCAUGGUUGUCACUCAGACAUGCACGCCAAUGAUAUUAUAUGUGCUUUUGGAUCCAACAAAUUUGAAUGUACAUUGUAAAGACUUCACUGAGAGCUUAUAUAGAAUAAAUAAGUUUCAUGAAGAACUUUUGACUAAGGUUCAUACAAUUGGAAAUGAAAUAAAUGAAAGGGAUUAGCAUGAGAGUUAAGAAUGGAAGGAAGUAGGGGGAUGGAUUUUAGAAUAAAAAAAACUAGCAAUGAAAAAAACAAAAGUUCAGAAUAAAGGGCGUUGAAAUGAUGGCUAUAAUUAUAAUAAUGGUUUUUGGAGAUGAUCCAUUUUUUUUAAUGAUGGUUACAAUAAGAUAAGUUGAUUUAAUAAAUGAAUGGAUUAUUUUAAUAAUUUUUUAUAUAUACUUAUAAGUUUUUUUAUGUAAUAAUAUUGAAAGAUUUAUGAUAUCUAGAUUUGAGUAGAUUUUUGUUAAAUGAAAUUUUUGAAAGAUAUUUGAGAAUUAUUGAAAAUCAACCUAUUCCAAGAUGCCACCAAGAAGGUAGAGAGAAAAUUUUCUUAAUUAAAAUAAAUUAAAUAUAUUAUUUUUAUUUAUUUUAUAUUAUGAAUCAUAUUAUCUAUUCAUCUUUUAAAUUCAAAUAUAUUAUAUAUUUAAAUAUGUGCUUACAAGACCAUAUACAAAUAUUGAGUAGGUUAAAAUUGAAUUGUAAUAUAUAUAUAUAUAUAUAUAUAUAUAUAUAAAAUAUAAAAUUUUAAAAUAAUAUAAAUACAAAAAUAUAUUCAAUCUUGUAUGCAUUUUUGUAUUUAUAAGCUUAAAACUUAUUAUCUAAGAUUUGGAAAAGAACUUCAUAUAAAAACUUACUAUGAAGUUUUAAUGAUUUUUGAAAUAAAUAUAAAUAAGUUAAAAAAUAUUCUAGAAGUUUUAAAAUAUUAUUAUUAAUUUGAUUUUAAAUUUGAUGUAAAGAAGUUACACACAUGUUAUUAUAAAAAAAAUUUCUUAUAAUAAUAAACAUCAAAAAUAUUUACUCAAAUAUGUAUUAUUGAGUAUUUUUUCCAAAUUUAAAUACACCAUAAAUAUACUCUAUGUGAGAUAUUUAAUUUUGAUUUUUAAAAUUUAAAAUUUAGAUAAAUCUUUGUUCAUAUUGACUAAAUUAUCUAUUGAUGAGCAUUAUAUGAUUUUCUUAGAAUUAAAAAUUUCAAAACAUGUUGAUAUAUAAAUUCUAGAAUAAAAAUUUCUUUAAGCGCUAAAUUCUACAAAAGUUUAAAGAGUGCUAUGCCACAUUUGUUUUGAUAGAUGUUGUAAGUAUGGCAAUCAACCUAAAGUUUUUGUUUUUAAAUUUUUUUUUAUAUAGAUUUUUUUAUUAUUUAAAAAAUUAAAUAAAUAAAAUAUUUUUUAAAAAAUAUUUUUAUUAAUUAAUAUUUUUUAUUUUUUACUUUUUUUCUAUAUAAAAAAUUUAUUUUUAUGUUAUAAAAAGAAAAUCAUUCAAAGACAUGAAUCACAAAGAACAAAGAAUCAAUAUAUUCUUGUGUUACUAUAAAAGAGUAGAUAAUAACUCAAAAAUAGUAUAAUAUUAAGACUAUAAUAACUAUUGUUAAAUAUAAAGCAUUGGCAAGAGUGAAAAAGACCUCACUCUUGCCUCCAUAUAUACUAACUAGGAUCUAUGGGGCAACAUUCUACAUGACCUUUGAUAUAUGCUUAUCUUGCAAAACACAUGUCUAACUUGCAAGAUAAGUUUCCUAAAUGUGUGCCACAUAGCUAACUUGUACCAUAAGUCAUCAACAUGUGCAAUACUUGGCUAACUUGUUGGCCAAGUUUUUAACCUACCAAUCACCUAUAAUUAUGUAAAAAGUUGAAUUUGCAUCUAUAAAGAUUCUAAAAAGUUUUUCCACAAGAUUUUAUCAAUUUUAUUUACUUCUAUUUAAUUCUAUCUAAUUCCUUUAAUCUAUGUAAAUAUGUAUGUCCAUGACACUUGUUAAAUAAGCACUUACAAAAUACAUCCAAAGAUAUUUUAGAUUUUUUGAAUAUGUAAUUUUAGAAAAAUAUUCUAUAGUACAAAAGGUUUUAAAAGUAAACAAAAAAGCAUUGUUCAUGAUAUAAUUUUAUUGUUUUGCAAGAUUUUAAUAAUAAAUCUACAAAAAAUAAAUCUAUGUGAAAUACAUAAAACACCAAGAAUACGAGAGUCCUGGGAGGACACCCACACAGAAGUUCGUCCGCCACGUCACACCCAUCGGAAAGGGAGUCUCAAACCCAGCCAAGCCAGGGCCGGAAGGAGGGAGAGAGAGCGGGACCCAUCCACGCUGGCCUAACUCGGAGUGAGCGGAGCGAAGGGACGCAAAUCCAGUCACUUGUCGUGGCGGCCACGUUGGCAAGCCACGUCAACCGGGAGCUUGAGAAAACGCAUGUGUGAAAGGGAAGACGAAAGAGGAGUGGUUGGGGAGGGUAGCACCCAAGCCCGUGGAAGACAAUGGAGGGCGAAAAGGAGGGAUCACCCAAACCCGUGGAAGGCAAGGCAAGGCGAAGAAGAGGGAGGUGAAUGCAAGAGUGAGAGAGAGUGAGCCAUGGCGGCUCUUCCCUUUCCUUUUACUUUCCUUCCUGAAACCUUAUCCCGAUGGGAGGGAGUUUGCUUUUUAUUGCUUCCUGCUACUAUUGCUCGCUCGCCGCAGAGGGCGACGCUCUUAGGCGCCACAAGUCUCUGCGCUACGUAAACGCAAUUGGGUCCAAACCAAAACCAGGCUCUACCGACGCCUUAUGGCUACUACUACUACUACCACGAUCACAACUCUGCCUUGAAACUGUUACUCGCCAUCGUGCCUCUAUUGCCGAGGGAGGAAUCAUCAAAACCAAAACCUCUGAAAAGAUAUGGCAGUUCUGAGGUCAGGGCUCUUUCUCGCACCUCCAGCGUCGCUCUCCUCACACAGCGCCGGCGCCAUUCGAGAUGACUCUGGACGGACAAGUGUUUCCUACUGCGGAGGAUGCUUGAGUGGCAACGCCGGAGAUGUGAGUGAGAGGUUGAAUCCUGGUGGGUUGAUUAUUGGGAAUGGCGCUUGUAGUCGAGGUAGGCUCGUGGUUGUUGGUAGAGCCGGUGGGUCUCGUCCUGCUGCGGGGGCCAGACGGCCGCGCCCGCAACCGAACAGGCGUUCCGGAGCGAAGGAGCCUCAGGAUGAGGGUGGACCGCUGCUUAAUGGCGACAUCAGGUGGGUUUUUGGUUGCCGUGCACGCUUGGUUGCUUGUGAGUGGCAGCUGUGUGCAAGUUUCUUUUGGUUUGGUGUGCAACGAGGGGGACAUUUGCAGUCAAUUCCGAUCCUACUUCUCACAAUUAGGAUGGAUUACAAUGCAGAGUUCCCUCUGUUAGGCUCCUCGACGAAGAACAGAACAUGGUACGUGAAAUUGUCUAAAUUUCCAGCCAUUUGUUCUCGAAGGUUUUAUCGAGAUUGAGCUGCGAAUAGUGUCGCUCGUAGAUAUCAAUGGGGGUGUUAAUUCGAAGGCGGAUGAACCCUUACAGUUUUGGUCUUUGUUACGACUGUUUAGCAUAGAAAAAUACUCACAUAUAUUCUUUGCUACAGGUUGGAGUGGUUCCAACAGCCGAAGCACAGCUACGGGCAAGAGAUGCUGAUUUAGAUCUUGUAAGAGCUUUUCUCUUGUUGGGGUUUAAAUCGUUCUUGGGUUAACCUUUAGGAAGUGAAGUGAACCUGGAGUUGGGCGGAAAUAUGAAUGUCAAUUGGAUUUUUCGAUGCAUUUUGGAAUGCACUUUUAGGGUCAUGGUAAAACAGUUAAUUGCUUUGGGGACUUGUUUUCUGAGUCCCUUUUUGGACGCUCUUAAUUUAGCGUCUGCGUGGAUUCAUGACCUACCACAAUUUUGUUUGCCCUAAUACAGUAGUCUAGGUUUUGAGGUUUUGAGACCAGAGGAAGUUGAAGCUAAACGUUGUCUCACACUCUUGCAGGUAAUGAUAGCUCCAGAUGCAGACCCCCCUGUGUGCAGAAUAAUGGAUUACAGGUAAGUUUGCAAGAUUAUCAGACUGAUGCAAUCUCUUUGUUAAAAUGGGUUGUCGAAACAUUUUGUUGCGUGCUUACUAAAGAGAUUGUUUUAUCUUUAUACAGUAAGUACAGGUAUGAAGCUCAGAAGAAGAAAAGAGAAGCUCAGAAGAAGGCUAUUGGUAAUUUCUCCUUGCUGUCAUUGUUAAUUGCCAAUGGGUCAAUUUUUCUUGUGAUUAUCUUGGGGUUUCAUGUAUGCUCUUAAACGCCCACAUUUAGUUUUUCAAUUUACUUUUUCUUUCGAAUAUGGAGAUUGUGCUAUCCGGUCGCUUGAUCUUUGAAGUGACAGGUGAUGUCGUGAUAUAAAGUUUGGUCAUGUUGAGUAGAGGGUUUCGAUAGAUCAGAAUCUUUGUGCAGAAGCUACUUGCAUGCUUUGAUAUUUGCUUUUGGAAGCAUAAAUCCCACGACUCUGGAACAUAGCGAUAGCGUUGUUAGAAAAGCAUCUGUGGUCAUCGAGGAUUUUCCUUAAUUUUAUUAAGCUUGGGGUAUACUCAUUUUGUGUGCACAAGGAGAUAUUAUACCAUUGCAUUCUCAUGGUUAUGUUUCUGUUAUUGCUCUGUGGUCUACAGCAAGUCGGCAGGAUCUUAAAGAGUUGAAAAUGAGGUAUUUGCUUAUGAUCUAGCAACCAUCUAAUUUCAAUCUCUCAAAUCAUCAGUGAAGUUUUUGGGUUACCCGUUGUUUUAUCUGAUGUGCAAAGUUAGAGCAUCAUGAUUAUAGCUUUUUCGCCCUUCUCAUAUUGCAACUAUCAUGAAUACUAGUUACUCGUAUACUAUAUAAUAAGCGUAACUUAGUACCUGUGCUGUCCAGAUAUAACAUUGAUACUCAUGAUUACCAAGUGCGUCUGCGAUCUGCAAUGAAAUUCUUGAAGGAUGGUGAUAAAGUAAGCAUCUGCCAUGUGAUACUAUAUAGGUUCUGCAUUGUUUGGAAAGUUAUAUAUGAGUAGGGUUACAAGAAUGUCAAAAACUUACUGGUGAAAUGUGGGUCUGAAACUGGUUUAAUUGCUCUACAGGUGAAAGUGGUCUGUCAGUUCAAAGGACGAGAGAUGGAUUUCAAGGAUUUGGCUUUUAAGUUAUUUCAAAAGUUUAUAGAUGAUAUCGGAGAGGUACAUGUAAAAGAGCCCUUCUCAUGUGAUGCGCACUUCCGCUGUUACUGUGUAAUCCUUCAUCUCCUGUACGCUGUAAGACAUUAACACAUAUAUACUGUUCAAUAAUUGACAUAUUGUGGGAACGAUUUGGUAUUGUACAGUUGGGAGUUGUUGAGAGCAAAAUGGCAAUCGAAGGAAGACAAAUGAUAAUGUUGCUGGGACCAAAUAAAACUGCUGUUGCCAAGCUACAGCCUGAGAAAAGUACUGAGAAAUCCAAAUCUAAAGAGCAAGAUAAUGGAAAGCCCAGUUCAGAAAGCACAACCACUGUAGAACUCGAGACGGCUCCUGUAUCUGACGAUACCUGAAUUUGUUAAGACACAGUUAGGUACGAGACGCCAAGUCGUCUAGUAAUGAAGCUGCUAUCCAGUGUCUGAUAACUGCACAUACAGUUAGAUUGGUUUUUACUCAUUUUUGCAGUUUUAAUGUGAUUGGUAAUUUGUAACAUCCGUUUGACCUCGGCGGUUUAUGACUGCCCAAUGUAUUCACACACGCUCAAUUAGCAUAAGAGAUUCAGUACUUUCGUCAUCUUAUUGACCAUUUACAUUGCUUACUUUCGUCUCGUCCCAGACAUUGCAAUCAGUUUAUCUUCAACAGAGGAUCCACGGACAUUAGCUAACACUUGUGGUACAUGCUGCUUCUCAAACUAGUUUAUGUAUUACACCAUUUGGUAAGCGGACAUGUGCUAUAAAACCUGGCUGAUGAUCUGCAGAGAAAUUUGUAGCUGAGACAUUUGUAGUCUAAGCUUUUGGUAGAUUGCUAUUUCUGUGGAUCGUCGGAUUGGAAUCUGGACGUAAUGUUCCGAAAUACCACACAUUAUUUAACAUUCUAUUGCCAAUUCUCUAAUCCCUUACAGUACCCGAAAACAGAAUGUCUGGACUCAGAUGGGAACUAAUGAAUACUAUGGACCUAGUUUUUAGAUUGGGAUCGUCGUUCCCUUCUGAGUUGUUAACAUUGAUGUGUGUAUAGAUAUAUGUACGUAUAUAUAUAUAUAUAUAUAUAUAUAUAUUCUGUCUCUCACAGUAGAUGGAAAUAUCUCUCUGUAUAUAUAUUCUCUCUCUCUCAUCUCACAGUAGAUUGAUUUAUUUUUUUGUCUUAAUUUUUUUUAUUGCAGAGUAACAAAUUGCUUUUCUUACAAAAAAUCCAAAACACAUAGUAACAACAAAUACAUAAUAAUUGUCUAAUUUUCCAUAAAGAGCAUUAAUAAACAAAAUCGUUUUUAUUCUAUAGAUUAUCUAUUCUUAAAGUUUACAAAUCAAAAUCAAUAAGGAUAUUUAACAAAAACAAACUAGACUAGUAAAUUGUUUAAAAGAAUUAGAAUAAAUAAAAUAAAGUUCAUGGUAUAUUAUAUGUAUUGUGACUUAUUAUAAUAUCAAAAAGUAACUUUAGAAAAAUUAAAUUUAUUAAAUUGAAUACCUAAUCAAAAUUUUAAAUUCACAAGACCAAUAAUAAUUCCAAAUGAUUAAAAAAAAAUAGUCAUUUGACAAAUAUAUAUACACACACACACACACACACACACAUAUAUAUAUAUAUAUAUAUAUAUAUAUAAUAUUAAAAAUUUCAAAUCAUGAUCACAAAAUUAAUUUAUUUUAUUUUAUUUUACUUCAAUAUAUUAAGGAGAAUAAUAAAGCGACCCAAAUUUUUACUAAUGCAACCCACUUCAUCUUAAGCAUUAUUGCACCCCUGGAGCUCCCAUCCCUAUUCCCAGCUAUUUCCUAUUCCCAACAGUUGCUGGAAAUGGGGGCAGGAGGAUGGAAAUGGAGGUGAUGGUAUGAAAUAGGAAAACGGUUGAGAAUGGGGCAUAUGGUUGAUUUAAUAAAAAUUUGGGUUGCUUUGUCAAUUCUCUAUGUUAAUGUAGAAACCAAUUUUCUCAAAAAGUAAAAGUAUCAAAUUUGUCAAAUUAAAAAAAUAAAGAAAAUCAAAUCAAAUUAAAAUUAGAAUACAAGGCACUUAGACUACUAUCUAAAAAUAAUGAGUGUUAUCUAUACUCAAAUUCAUAUAUUUUGAGAAUUGUAAUGUUUUACAAAUUUUGCAUUAUAGAGUUAUAUUAAGUCAUGUUAUUGUAAUUAGAUUGUGAUUUUCUAUUCAUUAUAAAAAUAUUAUAAAGAUUCUUAACUUUUUUCUUUAGUUAGGUUGUUAGUAAGACAUAUCCAAAAAAAAUAAGAACAAUAAAUUGUUUUAUGUCAAAAAAGUAGCAAUAUUAAUAGGUACUAUAAAUUUUUAUUUUGCACAAUUUAGUAUCAUUUAAGUUAUGAAAGAUGUUUAAUUUUUAUUUUUUUAUUUUUUUUAUUGCUAUUAUCUAAAAAUAUCUACUUGUAAUUUUUUUUAAAGUUGACUUUCAAAAUUUAUGUUGGUGUUUUCAAUUUAAAAUAAAUACUAACAUUCAUCAAACAAAUGAUUAAUGCAUCAUGAUGUACAACAAUAGUUUUAAAUCAAUAAGUUCCAUUUCAGAGAAAUAAAUAAAUAAAUAAAUAAACUCUUACCGAAUUUAGAACAAGCUUGAACCUUAGUUAAUAUUCAAAAUUUUAAAAUGCUGGUUUGUUUUUUUAUUGAUCCGAUUUCACAAGUAUUUGAAUCCAUAAAAAUUUCAUCUCAUCACUGCUAAUCCAUCUUCACCCUCAGAAAUAUGUACAUAAAACUUCCUGUGUUAAAUUUACUUGUAAUAGUCUAUGAAUACAUGAAAACUAGACCGUGGCUUGAAUAAAAUACGAUAUCAUUAUGCCUGAGGUAGCAGGCGACCCCUUUUUCUGGUUCGUGAGAAUUAGUGAAACAUGCCAAUCUUUUUAAAAUAAUCAGGACAAGAGGUUACAGAAACAUUUGCGUGCCAUCAGAAAAACCAAAAUUAUGAUGACCCAAAGAUCUCUGGCCACUUGAGGAGGGCUUUCUCUGCAGCAUCUUGUCUAGCGAGUCUCUGUGAUUUCCCAAUCCCAGUGGACAAGCGGAACCCUUUCACAUACACUCUAAUUCUGCAGGAUUCAUUUGGGGUGUUCUGAUUGUCAACUCCGAUCAACCUGCAUGGAAUUCACCACCUCAGAGCUAAGCACAAGUGACUAGACUUUCAGGACAUAACAUAAUUUAGUGUAAAGUUUCAGGGUUAUUCACAGGAUUUUAGUGGAACUGCUGGAGGAUAAUACAGCUAUCGUUUACUUGAAGGGCAGGUUGUGGGAAACACUCACUUGUAAUCUGGCUUCUCCUGCAAUACCAUUGCACAUCGAUCGUGCAGAAUGGUCACUGGGUUCCUCGUUGGCUUAGCGAGGAGUAGGAGGGGUAACAAACGAGUCUCGACAAACUGUAAGGUACUUUCCAGUCCCUACCAGAUGAAAGCAUAAGAAUGAAUCAAUCUCACAGAUAUUGCAUUAACCACAUAGAAACAAGACAGGAAGAUUAAGUUGCUCAUGUCCCGUCCACAAGAGUGUUACCUUUUCUACGUAGAGACCUCCAAUGUAAGCUUCCAGAGUGUCUGCACAAGCUUUCAUCUGUGGUGAUACGCACGCAGAACCAGUCUUUUGGUUAUGAUUCAUACACGAAAAUAAGACAGGUAGAUUAAGCCAUACCUUCAUACGCAAUAAACAAAACUAGAUGUCAGUUUCAGCAAAUUAACCUCACCUGAUUUUCUAAGAGAGCAGUUGCUGAAGCUUUUUUAGAUCGAGAGAGGAGAGGAUCACACAACACAAGCUCACGCAGAUCCAAUAAUGUGCACCAAGCGCGAGCCAAGUUGCUAUUACACACCUGCAAAGCCCAAUCCAGCCUACAAAUGUCAUCCAAUCACAUAGCCAGUUCUUCAACCAGCUGUCAGACGUACUUCAAAUGCUCAACAAUCCUCUUUGUUACCGUAUUAACAGUUUAAAAAAUAAGCGAAAUCUCAUUAUUUUAGCAUCUAGCAAACAAUUGGUCAUCACGAACCUAUGCCUUCACGAGCUAGGGCCAACUACCGACGACAUCUUAAUGAAGGCAAGUGCUAAGAUAGCUCUAGUUAGGUUUGACCAAUACCAGCUGUGACCUUCGUUCCGUUAUUGAGCCCUGCGUUACAUGUCAAUAUGUCAAGCUCCUCUUCAGAUAAAGGAUUCUCAUAAAACAUUCUACGCAGACUACAGGCAUAGAAAAAGGUCAUCAAAAAAAAAAAAAAAAAAGAAAAAGAAAAAGAAAAAGAAAAACUAUAGGUAGGAAAAUGCAGCAAGCGACGCACAGUUGACAGCAAAGGGUAUUGGCGAAUAAGGUGGGUGGAAGCGACAAGAUUCAAGACUGUGUCUCCUAUUAAAGCUAGCUUUAAUCGAGCCUGCAAUGGAAAGAAACAGCAGCUCGGUUAGAAUCAGAGAAAAUCACAGGGUAACUCGAGAACCAUAUUAGACCUGGGAGCAGAAAUUACGUGAAAGACUGAGACGAUACUAUUUGAAUGACAGGCUCAUGAUAGAGUAACACAAAUCACCCCAACGGUGCACACUUUUUACAAAUAUUUCACCGGUGUGUUGUUAAAAUAAAAUAAAAAGUCAAAAUCAAGGCUCUAUGUUUACUGUUCUCUGCCUUCGAUUCAACAAAGGGGGAGGACAACAUAACAUGAGUAAUUAAUCAACCUCUGCGUGUGCGUCAGCAAAAGUCAUCAAGUUGUCUUCCACGGUUCCUGAUCUUUGCCAUGACAUGAGAGGCUUCCUCAACUUUUUCUCUUUCACAGAUUGUGGCAUUUUGGACAAAUAGUAGCUCUUAUGAACCUGAAACAUACUAGAGAGAGAAAUGGCUGACCAUCAGGACCUCGUUGACACGAGCCAAAAAAAUAGAAAGACGUCAAACCAACAUUGAAUGUAACUCACGAGUGACAACUCAAAGAGAGAUGGUGUAGAUGAGGACCAAAAUUCGCAAGAGAAGCUCCCGGGAAUGGAUACUACAGCCAAGCUUCUCAGUUAGUAUCUGCAAAAACAGCCAUGACUGCGUUAACUUCUACACAUUAAUACUAACCUUCACUACACAUUGCAAUUGAAGCUAGAGCAAUAGGAGAGAAACUUUACGAGCAAAGCGACAGGCCUAAAAACCUGAACAAUUGGUAAGGGUGAUAAAAAUGGGCCAAAGAUUUUUUUUUUCCCGUCAUUUCUUGCAUGCCCUACUGAGACGCAACCAAUGCAAGAAGCGAGGAAUCAAGAGGUGAACCGGACCUGAAGCUGUAGAUUGAAGCUCUGGGGGAGGGGCAGCACUUCGCAUAUCAAAUCUGGAAUCCGCCAAGAACACUCUGGUAUGCCUGGCAUUUGGGGCCACACUGCCAAAGUCUCCAUACCAUUGCUCGUUUCCGUAAAACUAUCCAGGCCAGUCUGUCUAUGGGAAGGCGCAGCUUGGCUAUUAAAGAAGAGCUCAUUACUCAGAAAAUCUCUGCCACCAGAUACUGUUCUCGUUUCUUCUACAGCUACGCUACUCAAUUCUGAACGCGAUUCCGCGCCACGGAAUUCAUUGAACCCGACGUUGAUGACCUCUUGUGUAUUAAGUUCCAAAGAAUUUAUUUCGGUCUCGAUAUCCAAGUCCUGUUCCUCCUGGCAGUCCAGGGAGCCACCAACUUGGGUAUAUAAACCCCUAGGCACCAAAACAUUACCAUUUACCUCGAUCGCGAACUCUUUGCGCUGCGCUGCGCCCAAUUCAAGAUCUGCCACAGUACAAUUGCGGCGGAAGGCAUUGAUCAAUACAAGUCGACUAAAACUGAACACCAAUAUUCUCUACCAUUCAAUUGCAACGCACGUAGUAGUACCAAGAAAUUGAGUGACAGCACUCCCAUGAUCGUAAUCCUAAGAAGUUUCCUCAUAUACCCAUCUCGGAGAGCGAAACGUACCAUUGGAAACGACCGCAUUUUUGGAAACUCGACGCAAACCAGGGCAGAGCCCGCUUCGCCGCGCUCUACCAUACUUACUCCCACCAAACACAACCGAAUUGCAAGUUCCAUAAACAUUCUCGGCGAUGAGAGACACAGCUCCCAGCGUUACCAAUUCCCCUCGGCCCACAAAAAGAAUGUUGCAUUCUCUGACGGCAUGGAGACUAGUGCAGUGAAGCCGAGCAAGCUUGUAAACUUCCCCAAUCCCUCUCCCGUACCGCUGAAUCAUGAUGCCACGGCCACCCAAUUACCCUAAAACAACCCUGAAUUCCAAAAACUGUGGCAAAUGCGGAAUCUUCAUGUCACAGUGGUGAAUCAAUCAGGCAUUGAAACAGCGGAGCCACGACACCAUCCCACCACGUCUACAGAUGCGCGCCGCCUAGAAAACUGGUGGAAAAAAAGGGAUGACAACAACAACGACAACAACAACGAGUGGAUCCUGAUUGCAAUGAAUGCCCAGUUUGAGAAUGCAAGUGGAGUAAAUGCAAAAGCAAGCAAGGAUUAAAGUGCAAGCCCCCCAAACAAGUGGAGCGAGAAAGAGAACGAGGUGAUGGAAAAAGGAGGCUGCUUUGUAUGAAGAAGAGUGUCUUGCAUCACACAUUUUUAUUUGCAUCACUUUUUUAUCCACCAAUCUAGUUAACCUUGUUUUGUCUUGUCUUGUAUAAGUAGUUCAUCCUUCACUUCACUCCUUCACUUCACUCAGCUUUCACUUCAAUCUCAUUGCUCCAAGUUUCAAUCUCAUUUCAAUCUCAUUGCUCCAAGUUUCAAUCUCAUUUCAAUCUCAUUGCUCCAAGUUCAUCACUUCACACAGCUUCACUUCAAUCUCAUUGCUCCAAGUUCAUCACUUCACACAGCUUCACUUCAAUCUCAUUGCUCCAAGUUCAUCCUUUACUUCACUCAGCUUUCCUACAUUGUUGCCAUGUUUUGAUUGAAUACAAUGAGGAGAUUCAGACUUAAGGUUUUUGGAUGAUAUUUCAAAAUAUCACUUGAUGCUUCAUCAAAUCACCUACCUUGCAAAGUGGAUGAUUUUUAAAUCCAAAUAUCAAAAGGACUAGUGAAAUAUCAAAUAUUGCUUUGCUUGCCUUAACUCUCUUCCAUCUUUGAUUCCAUACCAAAGGAUAAUAAAGUUUGAAUUAGGAAUAAUAAAGUUUGAAUGGUGAUAUUUUAGGAGGUGAUAUUUUGAGUGAUCCGUGAUAUUUGGUUUUCCAAAAACCUUAAGUCUAAAUUCCCGCAAUGUUGUGAAAUUUUUGGAUUAGUGUCUUUCUUUACAAUGUUGUUGUAGAUUUGUUCUUCUUUGCUCUCUAUUCUAAUCUAUCUAAAUUUUAGGAUUUUUGAAGGAAAAGUGGAAAAGUAGGCAUCUAGUAAGAAUUUGUUUACAUUUACAAGACAUUUUUUGUCAAGUUAUUGAAAGAUUUAUAUUGAAAAACUAUAUCAUUUUUUAUUUUUUAUUUUUUGAAUUGUUUUUACUUAUUUUUGAUUUUGUGAUUUUUUCCAUAUUUGUGAUUCUUUACACUUUCUUCAUCUCUUAUUACACAAUUUAUAAUAUUAGAUAUAUUUUUUUUUUCUUCUUGGUUUAUAUAGUUUUAUCUUUUAUAUAUAUAGGCCUAAAUGCUCAUCUUGCAUUUCCACAUAUUUUGAAUCAAUUCACUUCUAAAUUAUCAUUUUAUAUAUUUCUUCUAUCUUUUAUUAUCCAACUAAACAUUUGAAAAUGUUAUAUUAUUACUUCUAUUUGUUUCUCUUUAACUUUGUCUUUUCUUUAGAAAUAACUUUGUGAUUCUUUAUUUUUCAAAUUAUAUAGGUUUACAUAAGAAAACACCUUAUUUUUUUGGAUCUUAUUGGCUUCAUCAAAUUUAGGUAUAACUCACAAUCAUUCUUCUACAUUUUGGUUGUUUUAAUGGUAGAAAUGUUUACAUUUAUCUACUUAUGAGAAACACUUGUAUAAAAAUAUAAAAAUACUAAUUAUAUAUAUAUAUAUAUAUAUAUAUAUAUAAAAAAAUAUAAUUUCUUAUUUUUAUUUUUGAUAUUUUUUUAAAAAUUGGUUGAAAUUUAAAAAUAUAAUUUGUUCAAAUCUGUUACUUGAGCUUUAGAAGCUCUAAGCAUUCACAAAAUAGAACUUGGUGAUAGUCAUGAUUUCCAAUAAUAUGCAUUGAUCUAUAAACAAGCUAUUUUGUUAUUAAGAUUUGAAAUUACAUGGAAUCAAGCCUAGUACUAUUUUUUCUUGAGAUUCUAUUAUUUGAUAAUAUUAUAUUCUAUUCUACUAAUUCUUGAUUAUCACUAAUGUACUAUUUCAAUGUUUUAAUAUUGACCCUCUCUAGCCAUACUUGAGAGGUGCCUUUGCAUUUUGUGGUGGCAUUGUCAAUGUUGCUCUUAUCUUUCCUCUCAUUGCUUUGACCUUAUACCGUUUAAUCACUGUGAUAGAUAUUAGAUUGCUUUAAUGGAUUACAAAUUGCUUAGGUGGAUAAUACAAUCUCUACAAGUCUAAAAAUAUGGCAUAUGGUUGAUGGUUUAUAUUUACAAAUAUGUAUGUUGCAAAUGAAUGAUAUAUAAUGGCAUAUAUAAAGUAGACACAUUAUUAUCAUUCUAAUUAUUAGUUGUUUGUAAAAUAACUUGAUUGAUAAUCUUACAUGUAGUAUUUGUAUUGUAAAGUUUUUUGCAAUAAUUAUAUAUGUAUUAUAUUUAUAAACCAAUUUAAAUCCUAAAGUAGCUACAAUAAGCACCAUAUUCUUAUCUAUCUAUUGAUUUCUUCUAUUAAUAUUUACAAGUACUAUUCUAAGACUAAAAUUUCAAAUUAUAUUUUAAAUUAUAUUUUUAGUUAUUUUAUAAUUUAUUAUAUAUCUUUUUAAUUAUAAUAAUAGAAAUAAAAAUAUCUUUAAUAAAAAAUAAUCUACAUUAUAAAUAGUAUUAAAGAACUAUUGAAGAAAAAACACUAUGAAGUCACAACACUUAGUAUUAACAAAGUUUCAUAGAAAGAGAGUAUGGAAUAAGAUAUCACUUAUUUCCAACACCCAUUACUUAAGGUGGUGGCUGCUACCUUAAUUGACAACUUCCAUUGUUUAAUGAAUACAUCCAUCCAACUUUCUACCAAGACUAUUCAUUGUUAUCUUAUCUAUUAUAAAAAUAUACUUUUAGCAUAUUUUAUAUAUUCUUAAGAUUCUUGGUCAUUUCAUCUAUUUUAUCUUUUGGCCUUCUAACAUAUCAAGAACCAAUCAUUUUAUCAAUAACAACUUAUCUAAGGUAAUAUCUUCUACAAGAUAACUUAAUUUAUUUUCACUUUUACUUACUUACUUUAAUACUCUCAUUUUGCUUUUAGUCAAAGGCUUUCAAUCCUAAUGCCAUUGUCAACACAUGAUUUCUAUCCUUUACUAUUACUUUUAUCAACAAAUCACCAAACAUGUCUUUUGUCAUACAAUAUUUCAUAUCAAUCACUCCCAUUUCAAUCUUCUCUUUUAUAAAAAGAUGUUGAAUGUCAAUGUAUUUGGUCCUUGAGUAAUGCUUUGGAUUCUUUGCAAAUGCAAGACAUCCUUGCUUGUCUCACUCUAUUUGAGUUUCUUUUAUUUGUAGUAUUCCAAUGUACUCCAAAAGUUAUCUUAGCCAUAUUUCCUCCAUUGUACCAUUGCUUACUAUCAUGUAUUCCACCUUUAUUGUUGACCUUGUAAUUAUUGGUUGUCUCUUGCAAUUCUACAAAAUAGCUCCCACUCUAAUAAAGAAUACAAAUUCUAUUCUUGAUCUUCUAUCAUUUGCAUCUCCAACCCAAUCUGCAUCACAAUAACCAUCCAAAUUAAUGUUAUCACCUCCAAUGCACAAUUUGAAAUGCAAAGUACCUUUUAAAUACCUCAUGAUUCUUUUCAUGGUUGUCCAAUGGAUUGGUCUAACCUUUCAUAUGUAUUGGCUCACAAUACUCACUACAUAUACAAGAUCCACUCUUGUGCCAAUCAUUGUAUAUAUAAGUAAAUCCACUACUACAUUAUAUGGAGCAUCUUGUAUUUCACCUUCAACUUUAGCAAAUUCUUCAUCCGUGAGCUUCAUCAUCUUCAAAUUAUCCUCCAAAGGUGUUUCAAUAGGCUUACACUCUUCGAUGUUGAAUCGUUUCAACACUUCUUCAAUGUACUUCUUUUGGCUCACUAUAAUGGUCUUUUUAAUAUGAUUUCUCACAAAUUCCACUUCUAAACAAUAGUGAAGCUCUUUCAAAUCACUCAUUUCAUACUUCUUUUCUAACUUUGCCUUCAAUCAAUCCAUCAUCUUCAUAAUAUUGGUUAAGAUGAUCAAAUCAUCAAUAUAGAGGAUGACAAUCAAUAUGAACUCACUUAAUUAUAUCAUAUACAAGGAAUGACCAAAUUUAUUUGUUAAAAAUCCUUCAUUUCAAAAGAAUGUGUCAAUGCGUUGGUACCAUGUCCUUGAAAAUUACUUGAGCCCAUACAAGGUUUUAUUCAACUUACAAAUAAGAUGUUAUUUGUCUUCUUCUACAAAUCCUUGAGAUUGCUCCAUGUAAAUGACUUCUUUUAGAUUUUCAUUCAAAAAAGCCAUUUUCACAUCUAUUUGAUGCAUCUUUAACUCCAUUGCUACCCCAAUUGCAAAAAUGGUUCUAAUUGUAGUGGAUUUGGCCACGAGAGCAAAUGUCUAAUUGAAAUCACCACCAAUAACUUGUGAGUAGCCUUUGGCAACCAAUCUAGACUUAUAUCUCAUAGUAUUGUCCAUUGUAUCCUUUUUAAUUCUAAAUACUGACUUACAACCAAUUAAAGAUCGAUUUGGUGGAAGUUGAGUCAAUUUCCAUGCUCCAUUGUCCAUGAAUAAUUUGUACUCUUCUUCAAUGGCAUUCUUCGACUUCAUAGCAUCCAUAGACUUCAUUGCAUUACACAAACUUAAAUGGAUCAAUAGAGAGUAUAACUUUGGCAUGUUCUUCACUUACUUGAAGAAAGAUGUGAUUCUUCUACUAUACACUAAGUUGUUUUCUAUCUCUCAAAAAAUAUCUCCUUUCACUUGAUGAAGCUUCACCUUCUUUUAUCCCAAGGUUUCUUAUAAGCUUCUUUUCUAUUAAAUUUUACUUCUUCACAUUCAAAGAUUGAUACUCUUCAUCAUCAUCAUCAUCUUUAACAUCUUCAUUGUCUUCAUUACUGAUUUUAGCAAUAGUAGGCUUACUAUAGUCUACCUUCUUUGGCUCUUCAUUUUAAUUUGAAUUUUUGCUAUCAUCAAUGUCAUCAUGUUCAUCUACUUCUUUACUGAAAUUGAAGUUGUAUCCACAAAUAUACCAUUACUCCGACUUAGAUACAUCUUCAAGUGCUCAUAAGCAUUCCUAUGCUCAAAAAACUCUACAUUAAGAUUCUUGAUGAUUUUUUUGAUUUCUAAAUAUAUUAGCCUAUAUGCCUUGAUACCUUCACAAUAUCCAACAAACAUACAUUUUAUACCUUUUGCAUCAAGUUUGGACCUCAUACAAUUUGGUAUCUUUGCAUAUGCAAUACAUUCAAAAAUCCUCAUGUAUGAAACAUAAGGUUUCUUGCCACAUCAAGCUUUUUGUAGAAUCAUUGAUAUGAAUGUAUUUGUUGGACACCUAUUCCUUGUAUACACUGCAUUUAUCACUAUUUCUCUCCAAUACUCAUGCCUAAGGUUUUGUACAUGAAACAUACUCCUUGCCAUCUCUACUAUAAUAUGAUUUGGUCUUUCAGCAACUCCAUUUUGUUGUGGACUGUAGGAAAUAGAGGAUUAUCUUACAACACCUUGAAUCUUCAAGAAUUCAUCAAAAUAUUUUGAUAUGUAUUCACUUCCAUUAUCCAUAUACAACACUUUAAGCUUGUACUUACAUUGUUUCUUUGCAAGAGCAUUAAAUUCCUUAAACCUUGAGAAAGAUUCAUUCUUAGCUUUAAUGAUAUAAAUCCACACUUUUCUUAAAAAAUCAUCAAUAAAUAUGACAAAAUACUUUGUUCUUCCAAUUGAUGUUGUCUUCAUUGGUCCACAAAUAUCAAAAUGUAAAAUCUUCAAUAAUUUGGUAGCAUGUGUUGCAACUCCUCUUAGAAAGAAAGUCUUUUAUUGUUUGUCUUGUAUGCAUCCUUCACAAGCAAAAGUCAUGGCAUUAUCACUGAAUUGGCCAAGAUUCAAGCCACUUACUAUAGAUUGGAACUCAUUCAUGCUUUUGACAUUCAAAUGACCAAGUCGUUGAUGCCAAAUUCUAAAUUUAUCUUGAUCUUGUGAAAAAUCAACAAAUGCUAUCACUUUUAUUCUAUUCACCUUCUUACAAUUGAUGAAGUAGAGGUUGUCCUCUCUAAGACCUUUGACAAUAUGUUGUCUAUUCAAUAUCUUCACAAAACAUCUAUUCUUAUCAAAUUAAACCUUACAACCAAGUGAUACAAGUUUGCUCACUGAAAGGAGGUUCUUCAUCUUUGGCAUAUGUAAGACCUUGUUCAAUGUGAUUCUCUUGAUUUGGUUCUUCACAAUGAUUUCCACAACAAUGGAUCCAAUUUCAAUGGCUUGUACCAUGCCAUUCUCUUUCAACUAAACUUUGAUUGCUAGAAUUUCUUUAUAAGUGUCAAAUAAAUACUUGUAUGGUGUCAUAUGCUUAGUAGGAUCCGAAUCUAUAAUCCACUAAGACAUAUCAGUCAUAGACACUCUUUUACUUGCCAUAAAAACAUAAUCAUCUCCAUCAAAGUUAUCAUGAAUAUUGUUUGCAUUCUUCCCAUCUUCUUUCUUAGCUUUAUAGCAAUUCUUAGGAAAGUAACUUGAUUUUUUAUAAAUAUAGUAAUUUUUUAUAUUUCUUUUAAAAUUAUUAUAUUGGUAAGAAUAGCUACCUUUGUCUUAUCUUAAAAUUAGAGCCAAAUCAUGACUUUGAAGCUCAUUUUCUUUCCUUUUGGUCACUUCAUGGACAAGCCUUGAUGUGAUAUAAUUCAUGGUAAGCUCUUUCAUGUUGUUAGACUCCAAUACCACAAUGAGAUAGCUAUAGGACCCGAAAAGGCUCAUGAUCAAUGUCAAUACAAUGUCCUUAUCAUCAACUCGCCUAUCAACAAUUGCUAGUUGGUUUGCCAAUGCUUUUAUCUUGUUGAUAUGAGCCAUGAGGUCAUCUCCUUCUUCCACCUUUACCAUUAAGAACUUCCUCCUCGUCUAGAAAAUUUUGGCUAGGUUUUUAUUCUUAUAGUUGUUGCAAAGAGUCUUCCAUACUUUUGUAGCUCUAUUGCAAGUAAUUACAUGUGAAAAGUUGGCAUCAUCCAAAUUUGAUGCAAUCAUACCAAAAGUUUUUCUUUCACGGCAUUUAUAUUCAUUCUUCACAUUGACAUCAACAUCAUGACUUGAAGGUUCUUCACUUUCAUCUACAAUGUUCCAAAGGACCAAUGAAAUCAACAAAAAAAUCCAUUUUUUUCUUUCAAUGGUAAAAGUUAUUACCUUUAAACUUCUCAAUUACUCUUAAACUUUUAUCUUUACUUAAAGCCAUAUCUAAAAAAAAAGGUGUAUAAAAAAAUAUCAAGAAAAAUAAAAGAAAAAGUUCUCAAAAUCAACAAAAAGGUAUUACUAACUUAAAAACCCAAAAUACCUUUUUUGUAAAUAAACAAGUGAUUUCACUCUUUAAUCACUCUCAACUUCACUUAUAAGACUUCUCACAAGUCUUAUACUCUAUCUUAACCUCUUGUAUAAGCUUUGCCACUCCACAAUCACUUCUCUUGUCUCAUGAAAUAUGUCUUACAUCACAAAAUACUUCUUAUCACUAUAAGAGGAUCUCAAGGAAAGUUUAUCACAUAAAACCACAAUGUUAGAUCACAAAUGAUAUAAAUCAACAAAGAAAUACAAUACUAAUGUUCUAAAACAUCAUUCUAAGGUAUCUAACAACCUCUAAGAUUAUCAAUGCACUUAACAACAAGUAAGAGCAAAACUAUAUCAACAACUAGAUACAACAAUAGAAUUAGAUGAUACCAAAUCCUAACAUCAGAAACAACAAAAAGAUCUACUCUUCACAAUAAGUAAGACUUCAAAGAACUUCAAAAUUUACAACUAAAGGUAAGUGGGCCCAUAACCUAUUGAAGAACUAUUGAAGAACUAUUGAAGAACAAGCACUAUGAAAUCACAACACUUAACAUCAGCAAGGUUGCAUACAAAGAGAGUAUGGAGUAAGAUAUCUCUCAUUUCCAGCACUUGUUACUUAAAGGUGGUGGCUUUUGUCUUAAUCGACAACUUCCAUACUUUCAUAAAUACAACCAUCCAACAUUCUAUCAAGACUAUCUAUUGUUAUCUUAUCUACUAUAAGAAUAUUCUUUUAGUAUAUUCGAUAUAUUCUUAAGAUCCUUGGUCCUUUUAUCUACUUUAUUUCUUGGCCUUCUUAUAUACCAAGAGCUAAUUUUUUUUACCAAUAGCAACUUAUCUUAGAUAAUAUCUUCUACAAGGUAACUUAUUCUACUUUAACUUUUAUUUACUUACUUACUUUAACAAACACAUCUAAUAUUGUUUUUUUCUUUUUUCUACAAAUCAAUAUAUAUAUAGUUCUUUAAUGCAAAUCUUUAUAUUUUAGGCCAAUUACCACUUUUAUAAAAGAUGACAUUGUACAGAUUGUUGUUGGAUUGCACACCAUUGAGGUUUAUAAAUAAGAAAAAUAUCAUUUGUACCCCUAAAAUAUGUUAAAGUAUCAAGAAUAUCCAUGUGUUCUUGAUAAUAGCAAAUUUACCCCUCACUUCUUUGAUAAUAUCAAAUCUACCCUAGAUCUCACAUUUUUUUUUUUUUUUUUUUAAAGUCAAACCAGGUCCCACCUGCGGGCCGCGGAUAAAUCGGCGGAUUCAUUUCCGCAUUUUCCCGCACAGUACGCCAUCAAUCUCACACAAAAAUAAUGAUACUAGCCCAUCAACAUUCGGGGCACAUCCAUGGUUUGUCCACGAAGCAACUGGCAUUGUUCACGCCCAUAGACAAACUCUCGUCAUUCAGCGUCAUCCUUUCUCGUUUGAGAUACUCUAUGUAAUUCGACUUGGGGCACAUCGCGUAUGAAGUGAAAUUGUGCAGCAAAUCAACGCUGAUGCUACCGACAAGAACUGUCGUUGAAAGCGCUCUUGCGCCAUGCAUAUGCGACUCCGAUUCAAUGGCCGAUGAGCUAAUGAGCAAUCUCCGAUUGCAUUAUGAGCUGAUGAAGCCCAAGCUCUCUGUGCACCUCUUGCGCACUGGGUUUUCCAAGGAAUAGCUUGCAGUCAGUAAAAGCUCCGAUUGACACACUCAACUUGACGUAAGGAUUCACAACCUCAAAUUUUGGUCUUCUGCAUCUGGGGUGUUUGUAUGGGUGGCACCAUCAGGGCAGCAUCAGCUAUCGAACACUGCAAAACUGCAACAACUUGAGUGGGGACACCCUGGCUGUAGCUCCGAGUGUCAGAGAGCGGAGUUGUUCAAACCACUGCAUUACGCAAAUCCCAACAAGUUUCCCUUUUAAAAAACCAUAAGAUUCCACCAUCUUGCAGCCACUGCCACCAUUCCACCGCUUGUGCUGAUCGACUCACUACUGCAGCUCAAGAUGAAGGGAUUCCAAGCACUGGUGCUGAUCGGAACUCUCAUGCUCGUCGCUUGCAGCUGCUCAGCUGCCAGAAUUUUUGUGGAAGAGAAUCGUGCAACACGCCAUAUGAAGUUCAAGAAUGGUCUAUCGCCUACCGAGAAGCCCAAAUUGCCGCCGCUGCCCACUUUGCCUCCCAACCCCGAGCUCACGUUGCCGCCGCAACCCAAGCUGCCGAGUUUCGGGAAGAAGUGCCCUCCACCUUCUCCGGUCUAUGAGUCUCCUCCUUACUCCCCUUCCCCGGUGUACACUUCUCCUCCUUACUCUUCCUCCCAUGUCUACAGGUCUCCUCCCCCUUAGAGCUCAUCACCGCAAUGAGAAGGAGCUCGAGAAAUCCAACUUAUGUAAUCGCAGCCAUUGCAGAAUUUCGUCUGGACACGUUUUACGAGUGAAUGGAGGUUGUGAUGAAGCCAUCAGUUGUAAUCCAGGACUUCGCAUUUAACGCAUAGUUUUGUGUUGGCUUGCUAAGUUUUCAAUGAGGCUUUGAGGGAAUCGGAAGGCGAUUACGCUGAAUUGCGAGAGUUUGUCUACGGGCGUGAACAAUGCCAGUUGCUUCGUGGACAAACCAUGGAUGUGCCCCGAAUGUUGAUGGGCUAGUAUCAUUAUUUUUGUGUGAGAUUGAUGGCGUACUGUGCGGAAAAAUGUGGAAAUGGGCCCGCCGAUUUAUCCGCGGCCCGCAGGUUGGUCCCAGUUGGACUUUAAAAAAAAUAAAUUGUGAUACCUUAUCAACCUCAAGGGUGGAUUUGAUAUUAUCACUUCUACAGGGUUAUUCUUGAUAUUUCAACAGGGGCAUUUUUUUUCUUAUAACUAAUAUUUGAAUCACGUUUUAAAGCAUUUUUAUUCUUAUGUUAAAAAGUUCAUAUCAAAAUUUUAAACUUUACCUUAAUUGAUUGUAAUGAUUUCAAUAAUUCUUUUAACAAUGACAAACAAUAUUAAUUUUUUAUGAUAUAAAAUCAUUAUAUAGUAAAAAUCAUUAUAAAUAAUAUUUUUUGAUUGAUUUAAAAAAAAAAGAUGAAUCCACAUGAACUUGUCAAAAUAAAAAAUACCUACAUACAAUUGAGAAAAGAAAAGAAAAAACAAACGAAUAAAAAUCCUAAUGUAUGGAAAAAAUAGAAAGGUAUUAAAAUAGUUGUUGCUAAGUACAUUUUUUUAAAAAGGUCAAAAAUAUAUAUUGUCCAAAUUUUCUAACGAAAUAGCAAUAGAAAAAUUUCUGAGGAAUUUUCCAAGGACCACAAAACUUGCAAGCUAAGUUACAGAAGCUUUCCAUUUGUUACAUCUUCAUUAUAUUUAUUGUAAAAAGACAAGUACUUCAGAAAACACCACUGACAAGGUCGAACUUAAAAAAAACCUAUGAUACUUCUCAUAUUCAUCUGGUAUAUCAUCUCUAAAGGAGAUAUGAAGAUGGUCCUUGGCGCAUAGACAGUGGAGAAAUGGAAACAACCCUGUAAACCUUCAUUCAUUGUGCGAGUGGACUGAACCAGUUCCCUGAGAAUCAGUCAAUGAGGCACGGAUUCCAUUUCUACAAAUGUACCAAAAUGUUGCCCAUGGGCCUAUCCAAACCAGGAGAACUCAUUCAUGGACAAAUAACAGAAAGCCAGAUUACAAUCACACGUACCAAUACUGAGAUUGAAAUGUUUUUUCAUAUCUGAAAUUUCUCAAGCUGUACACAUGAACGUGGCCAAGUGUCAUCUAGAAAUAAACCUAACUCAACUUAUUCACAGCUUUCAUGUCGUCUUCGACAGACAACAGGCUACAGCCUAAAGUCAGCAGUCAAGGUAUGAAACUCAAAAGAAACCAAGGAUGGAGGACUAGCUGAGUGGAUUCUUUAAUCUACACGUUUGCUCUCCAAGUCUGUCUCAGGAUGAGCAGGUGACUUGGGCAUCUUUGCCACAAGCAAAGGGCAUGGGCUGUUGUGAGCAAGAUGGUCGGUAAGGCUACAGAGCAUUGUUCUGUCAAAUUCAAGUUAGAUACGGGGUCAGGAAGUUUUAGAAAAAGUUAAUCAGACAAUUCGAGACGUGAAACAUUCCCAGACAUGAAUUAAACAUGUGAUCCCCAAGCUGGUAAACGGAGAGGUCGUACCUGGAAAGAACACUUCGGUCAUGAGUUCCGAUAACCACUGCAUCAGCUCGAAGAUUUGUCAACCCUUCGAUAACCUUCAUUUCAGGUUGGCCGUUUACCACAAUACCCUCACAUUUGAUCUGAAGAAAUGAGAUAGCACACAAGUUAGUGCCCUAUUUGAUAUGCUAAAAGGUUCGCUAAUGUGAAAUUUUCAGCUUACGGCGAUGAGGUUACUGUAAAAUGAGUCGCGUUUACCUUUGUCUCCUUAUUUACGUACUCCAUAUACUUCUCCACCAGCUUUUCGCUCUGAUUCAAGGCCUCUACCUCAGACUUCCCGGCUAUCUGACUGGGGACAUAUACCUCCUCUAUUCCGAAUUCUCCUGAUUUCAGGACAAUGAAACCCAUAAGCAACGGUUUGUCACACGAUGGUCUUGAUACUCCACAUUUAUCUUCCAAGAGUAGUAAAAUCAAAAGAAGUGACGCUGUCAUCAAUAAAUACACGCAAAAGGCAUUUCUCGUACACUCCACACAGCGACGUGGCAAUAAAUAUAGAUUUCUAUGCUAAGUCCAACGCCAUUAGCGUGUGUAAAGGAUCGCUCAGCAGAAAAAAACUUACCGGUACCCGCGGUAGCCGCUAGUGGUACGGACUGAUUUACGUGAUACAGGAUCAGGUUAUCCUCCUCCCUGGAAAAGUUCUCUAGUGCCCAUUUAAAUGCAUAUACGGACUGCCACAAAACGAAGCAAUAUUAAGAAAUCGAAUUUCUUGAUCAAUUCUCCCAUUGCAAGCUAGGAUGUGUCUAUUUCAAUCCCUGAUGUGGUCCACGUCAACUAAAACAACAACAACCAGCGUCAUAACAAUGCCCAAAACCCUAAUCAUAAAUAACUACAAUAUGUGGACUCGUGUCAGCGAGAGAAUGCUCUCACCAUUGUCCUUCCUUUAAUACAAAGGAAUUUGCAGCUAAUUCAAAUGUUCCUGUUUUUUUACCCUCAAUCGCUAUGAUGGAUCUCGACUAUCUGAACUCCAUUGAAAAGUUACAUUGGUUUCUUCUCAGCUGAUCAUUAUCAUAGAAGACCAAGAUUGGCUACAAAGUCAUUGAGGCAGAAUAGAAAGUAGAAAUACCUCUCGUGACUCGUCAACUGCAAUGACGACCUUUCUACUACCUCCAACAGAAUUUAGUGGGUCAUGGACCUUAAGGUCUUCCUCUAUAUGUCGAACAAUAGCCACAGGACAAGAUGCAUUGUGCAGCACAUAAUCACUGUUGCUUCCUGUAAUGAUCCUGUAGCGUGAAACAGAAUAGGUCAGUAAAAAAACACAGAAUCUUGACAUCUGCCGUCCAUAAACCACUGCUGAAGUUGGCGAAAGUGUCCUCACCGUUUCAGGAUUCCAGACCCUCGGCUGCCAAUCACUAUCACAUCUGCGCCAAGACGAUUUGCCUCGUCCACAAUCCAGGUUCCAGCAUCGCCUUUCACGACCUCUCCUGCACAUGCAAUCUGUUAUGCACAAUCAAAAAAGUGUUAGUGCUACGCAAUGAGUAAACUACUUGUACUAAGCUAAAAAAACAAAUUGCAUUAGAUAAGGCAUUUCUAAUGUUUCUUCAUUGGGUGUGGGAGGUUGAUAACCCUGAGAAAUAGGAAACAACCAGGCAGCAAUUAAGGAGAUAAAGUCGCCGUCCAACAGUUUUGAUAACAUGAAAAUCUCAAACACUGCUAUCAUGAUAACUAGGCAGGUAACCACAAUAUUUUACCGCUCGUUCUACCAAUGUGAGCCUAAUUAUGGUUCCUAUGAUCAUAGAUACAUGUAAACCUUGAGCUAGUGAAGAGAGGGCACAAAAGUUAAGGUGACUUACACCAGCCUGAUUGCAUUGCGAUAUACAUCUAGCAACGAGAUCCUUGGCCUUCGUAUUUACAUCUUUCUCGUUGGUUUCGAUAUCAGUUGUUACUGAGACUGCUCCCGCUCCAUACUCUAUCACAUGCACAGAAUGAUUUUUAGUCAUGGCAGUAAAAAUCCCAUUGCUUCCGUAUCGCUAUACCCCGAUCUCAAAUUUUAGGUUCAAGCUUUGCUGCAAGUGCAGUCCUUGCAAGAAAUAACAGGAAGUAGCUAAACUUAUCCAAAUGAAGUAGUACAAAAGUGUCUGAGACGAGCUCGCCCCGCCCUAGGUUAUGGAACCCAUGUUGUCCACGUGAUAACUUCAAUUUUUUUAAAGGAUAUCACUCAAAAAGAACUCUUUAUCCCUUUCAACCGUCUCCGUUAAAAACACGAAUGCCAAAGCAUAAAUCCAAGUAAAAUCUGCUGAAGGACACUGAAAAUUGUCGGUUGCAAUUCCGUGAGAGAAAUGAACAGAAACUCUCUCCGAGGGAAUCAGACUGGUCUUUUCAAAUGCUUUGAGGAAAAGUUAAGGGCAAGAGAAGGUCACAGAUCAACGACCUAUACGACGGUAGAACAUAACGCAUUCACUGGAUUAGGCAUGCACUUCGUCACUCUUGUAAAGCGACUCACCGGUAGCCAUGUCUGGAGACGGAUAGCCCAGAGCGACGAAAGGAGCAGCAGUGAGCACCACAACUUUGUCCGUUUUGCGAACCAAAUUAUGCAACGCCCAAGUAAAGGCGUACGCAGACACUUCAGAAUCAUCAACAGCAACAAUAAUCUUCCGAUCGGUCGCCAUUGCUAACGAAACCUCUCACCACACCGAGUCAGCGAAGAAGAAAACCCUCAGCAAAACCACGACUUUCGGCCAACUCUGCACUCAACCCAACCUAAAACCAAGUCAGGAAACAAAACAAAAUGACCCCGUAGCGCAACAACAUCAAGGCAUCAGAUCUCACAAUGAUCAUUCGAAAUCGCACAUGAUACACACAAUGGGCACUCAACACACAGCACAGAGAGAGCAUAGGAAAACUCUUACGGCGUGCAGCGAGCGAAACAAUACUUUUUUGUCAAUGUGGUGGUGAUCGAUUGAGGAACCCACAAAUAACUUACAAAAAUAUAGGAAAAAACAACUGAUUGAGAGAUGAAAGAUCCAAGAUAGGAAACAACGCUUGUGAAGACGCGGAUAAUAUAAGCCCAGGGAAGUCAAAUUCGCUGCAGAGUGCCAUUCCUCUCUCUCGACGUGAAGCAUCGGUACACUUCAGCGGUUAAACCCUACGACCGUGGAUCGGCGUUCUUCGCGCCAAGUGUCGGUCGCCGACGCAGCCAGUUGCAGCGCCACUGGUCACCCCGUUGCUGACGCGGCAAUGUAGUCGUUCGUGAUCCCGUGCGAUGGAUGAGUGGACAAUUAUUGGGUUAUCGAUGAACGUGGUUGUUUUGGAUGGAUGACAGUUGACGUGAAGCAUGCAUUAUUGAAAUCCCAUGUAGAACUCUCUGUGAAGAAUCUACAAUUGGUAUUGGAAGUAUUUCUUUUUCUUUUUCUGUUUGUUUUUCUGUUUCUUUUUUAACCUGUGAAAUUCUAACAGCCUUAAUUUAUUUGAAAAUGAAUAGAUCUAUUAGUGUAACUAUUUUUAACCAGUAUAUUAUUAGUUGAUGUAUUAUUGGGCCACCUGUAAAUAUUGUUAAGAUUUUGGUGUUACAAAAGUACAACUGUGCUUAUGACUUUAUCAUGCAAAGAUUAUAUUUGUACAAAUGUAGUAGAUCUGGAUUUGCCAGAUGAUUUACGACUUAUUGUUGUAAAGUUAUUAUAAUGAGACUAUAAUAAUAAUACACAUUCUAAAAACAUAUAUACAUAGUCUGUAAUUAUUGUACAAUAAUAUUUCAAAAAUCAAAAAAAUAUAUUUUUACUUCAUUAUCCCCUUUCAAAUAUAUAGAUUUGCAUUACAAAAAAUAUGUAAUUUAUUAUGAAAUUUUAACGAUAAUUAAAAGUAAUAUAUUGUAUAUUUCUUAUAAGGUUAAACAUAAAUCUCAAUAGAUGUGUCAGUAAAUAUUAUUUUUUAAAAUUUAGAAUUAUUCACUACAUGGAAUAUUAAAUUGUAUUAUAAUAUAUAAAAUCUAAUAUACUUUAAACUUGUGUAUAUUUAUAAAUUGAAUACUCUAGAUACGUGUUUUUUUUCUACUUUUACUAUAAUUUGUAUUUUAUCUUUCUAAUUUAUAUUGCAUAAAAUAUCAAUUUGUUUUAUUUUCAAAAUUUCUCUAUCAAUAAUUUUUAAUAUAUUUUUUGAUAAAAAUGAAUGAUUGGGUAGACUGAUUUUGGGGGUUUUUUUUUCUUAACCAAAUGUGUACACAUUAAUAAAAUAAUGUGAGUCAAGUAAAAUUUAAUACGAUUUAUGUUAUGUAUUAAGGACACAUUUGUUUAAAAUAUAUCUAUUAGGCUUCUAAAGCAAGCAAUGGAACACAUAUUAGCAGCAAUUCUGUUACAGCUUCGACCAACUUCAAAGGGUCAGGCUCAGUGGCCAGUAGUUCAAACGAGCAGAUUCUGAUUUAGCCAAAAAUGGUGACAUUCCAACAACUGAAGAAUUUUACUUAUCUUCGCCACUCACGAAGGUCUGGACAUGGUGUCUUGACAAGGUUGAAUUGUGAACAACACCUUUCAAAUGCAGUAAUCUCACACAUUACUAAGCAAUUGCAAUUUUAGAGUUGAAACGGAUGUUCAGAUCAGAGCAUGUCGCACUCCGAAGCAAACCAAAACUUCCCAGUUUGGAGAGACAGCAAAAUGAGGGACGAGCAAUUCAAUCAAGUUGGCAGCCAGAAUCACUGAAUUUCAGAUGAAUAACUUCGUAUAUUUUUUGAAAGUUUACAAAAAUUACACUCAUUUUUACACAAGAAACCAUUCCGCUAAUGGUGACAAUAAUUGGGUCAAUUGAACCUGAUUGACCCUUCAUACAACCCCUAUUUCUUUUGUUCAUCAAGUGUGAGAAACUCUUGUGGCUUUUUCUGACCUCUUGUGGUCCUUCAAAGCCAUUUGAACCAAAUGAUGUUUGCUUAAUAUCACGUUUAAGCAAACAAUAUCAUUCGGGUGUUCCUCAAGUAUCACUGAGAUAUAAUUUGCUUGUGUAAGCAAAUCCACAGCUAUGCAGGGAGAAGUGGGUCUUCACUAAAGAGGUGGAAGGUGAGCUAAUGGGUCCACCGUUCUACCGUCUUUGUGGAUUUCGAAGUGAAGAUGAGGCCCUGUGGAAUGGCCCGUGUUGCCAGAGAGAGCUAUGACUUGCCCCUUGCGUACAAACUGACCUGGUUGCACAUGUACGUUGUCACAGUGUGCGUAGAGUGUAAUGUAGCCAUUUCCAUGGUCCAUGCACACCGUUUUCCCGUACCCUCCUUUCCAUCCAGACCAUGUUACCUGCACCCACGAGGCACAGAUGUCGGUCCAUGAUUUCAAUACCAUGAGCGUUUUGUAAAACAAGAUUUCCGCGGCCUUGAACAUCCUACCAUCAAAUUACAUUCGCUUCAGUCUAGAACAAAACCAAAACCAAAACAAAACAAGACAAAAAAAUUCAUAAGAAAGUCGUAGAAAUGUACAAGUUCACGAGGAUAGGCAUGGAGGUGAUAUAUAACAUAUUUUAAUACUCAGUGCAUCGUCUGUGUGAAUGAUGAGGGAUAGGGCCAUUUCCACAUUCUUCUGAACAACUUUGGUAGUUGUUAUGCUCCCUAGGAAGGCAAAAUUUUACUUUUAGAGGAAAAGGGUUCAGAGAAAAUAAGGUCAUUUGACAUUUAGAGUGAUGAAAGGAAGUUGUGUGGAGCAAAUCUCACCUUGCCACUAGUUGAUGCAAUUACCUCCGUACCACGCUCAACAGCAAUGUCAAUGCCAUUGUGAAAAUACCAGCGCCCAUCUGCACAAAACCAUUUCACAAAAUGAACCACAUACGCAAAUUUUACGGAAUGUUGUAUUAUGGAGGGCUGCGAGGAUCCUUUAGUGUGGAGCUGAAGACACUUCCUACCACUACAUUUCAGAACUCAACAAAAACAUUUCACACGCCAGUAUGUCAUCUACAAGUUGAUAUGCCCACCUUUCCAGCCAUAGAAGGAGCUAAGCCAGCCACCAUGGCAGGGUAACCCAAAUGGCUCUGGUUCCCACUUCGGCAAUAUCAAUUCCACAAUUUUAUUUUGAACGAUUGGUUUCAAAGCUGGAAUAGUUGCUAGAUUUUCUUUGCGCAGCAAGUAGCGCAAGGGGGGGCCUUGCGACAGCGUCAUACAAAUCGGUUGUGCAGGAGAAGGGAUUACAAGUUCCUGGCCUACAUACAAAUGACUCGAUCCCUGCCGACAAUGAAAUGAUGGCAGAUGUCAGUAAGCAUGCUUUAGUUGGGGAAGUUCUCAUAAAGAUGGACCAGGGACACUAGCGGCGUGAAUUCACGUUGCAACGAAGAGCAGUACCGGAGGCAAGUUGUUCGACCGGCGGAUGUCGUCAAUACUGACAUGAUGCUCAUCUGCUAAGCUCCAUAACGUGUCCCCCCAAUUCGCAAUGACCCGUUUCUCUCCCUUCGUUUUGUCGUCCCCUACACAGAACGAAGAAUCAAAUUGCAUUCUUUGCAUGGGUGCUUCGAUGAUAUUCACCAACCUAAAGACUUCGUCAACAUGAUCCGUUGCAAAUUCCCAGCACUGGACAUCUUCUACCUGUUUUUGCAAUGUUACAUAAAAGAAGAAGUCGGGCAUGACUUACAGAAUCGUUUAUGUUUCGAUGAUACCGCCUUCCUUGGAAUGCGCAAAUUCUGACCAGGCUGCAAACACAAACAAGCCACCUUUUCAGCUUCUAACACAAUUAAGAUAAUCUCCAGAAGUGAUGAUCAACAACAGAAUAUGAGCAGAAACUUUCACAUGCGCAUUAAUCUCACACAUGACAGUAAAGCAACUCUGGCAGGAGAAGAAUACACAUGUCUGUGUGUGUACAAGAGAAACCAAUCAAAAUGGUUUCAUUGCAGCAAUGUCGACCAGAUAACUUUGAGAAGCUUGAACCGUAAACAAAUCUGAGUUACCAAAUACGAUAGAAACCUUCGAAACCUCUAAUAGAUGUAAAUUCUUACAAGAUGUUGUUAGCUCACAAGACAGCAACCUAAACCGAAUUCCAAAAACGCCCGCUCCCAUCCACAACCAAACAUCAUGUAUUCCUUCGCACAACCCUCCCCUCAAGGACCCAUCUCACUUAUUAGUUUCAAGCAUCUCUCCUUCUGCAACUAGAAACAGACGCAGCUGAUACCACCGCAUGACUAGGGAAUAAUGUAGAGCAGAUCCGGCGAGAAAUAAACAAAGUAACAAACAAAAAUGCCCUUCAUAUUGUUAAAUAUGUCAAUAUCUUAGCAAGAGAAAUUCUUCGACCAGAUAGUUGGGGGACUGAUCCUCCCAGAGUAUGUUGGUCAAACUGCAGGAUAUAUCGAUCUAUUCCACAACUAAAGAUGAUUGCAGGAUGAAGUUCAAAGGAUGCACCGUGUCUUUCAAGGAUCAAGGACAAUUUUCAACGUAAAUAGAAGACAAGGAAACCUUUAUGAUAUCAUUAGAUUCGCAGUCUAGAAAACAAAGACUUUGAGAGUAUUAUGAACAAAUUCUUCAAGUUAAGGAUCCCUCGAACCUCCCAACAACAGAACCCCCGACAAUGUCGUAUUAAAAAUACUAAUCCAAUACUUUUGGUUGCGCUUUUCUAGAUUAAUCCUCACACACUAAAUUAAAAACCACUACGAAGUAAAGACAUUCCUAUUGAGAAAUGAAAGCACAGCUAAUCAACUCGUGUUCAGGAGCACUAAAAUAUUCUAACGUAAAAAAUAAGGAAUAAGAGGGAGAGAAAGAAAAAAUCACGAGCUAGAAACCAGGAAUAAGAACACGAGGUAACGGAUCCAACGUCCUACGACAAAGCGAGCACGACAUGGAACACGGAGAACGAAUCGAAACAGCGAAGAUUCCACACAAGUUUUGUACAAUGCCAUGGACGUAGAUAAAGCCCAGAACAAAUGUUGAGGAGCUGCUACCUUCAGAUGCUCGAUAUUCGCUAUGCUAUUAACACGUUGCAAGACCUCCAUUGGAAUUCCAACCAGCCUUGAUAUUUCUGACAAACAAUCGCCAUGGCGCACCACAAGAGUCGAGAACUCCGCAUCCUGGUAGCAAUCUCGUGAGAAAUCCCGAGUGUUUUUUGGGUCAGAAUGGGAUGACGGGGACUGACUUCCACAAGCCCACAAGUGGAAGACUUGAAGGACCAAUCCUAGUUUGUUUUCCGAUUCGAAGAGGGAUGGAGCACUUUUCGAAUUAGCAGUGCCACCUCUCCUUAUCAAUGUGUCUUCUAACUCCCUUGCAAUGCCUCGAGACUCAGCAUCGGCUUCGUCGUCUUCUCUGAAUAAUGACAAUAGGUUUUUCCGCUUCACUACAAUUUGCGUUUCUGAUUCUGCCAUUUGUUCUUUCUUCGGUAGCAGAUCUCGCAACCAUGAUGACAUUUCGCAAGUCUCUGUAGAUAAAGAACUUCUCUAUCCUUGAACUUCUACGGAAUUUCUAGCUUUGCUACAGUAUGGAGGCACCAAGAGACUAUAUGCCACUGCUGCGCAUCCACAAACCUCACCCUCAUCAUUGUGCAGACAAGACCGGAACUGCGCCAAACAGGGCAAAUGAAUUCCUCGCAAUUUGCUUACGGCAAGUUCGAGGCAAAACAGACAAGGAGAAGCUCGUUCAAUUGAGGGAGAGACAGCUGCGACCAAUCGACGAGACUGAGAAUGAUGAGGAGGGCGGGACAAUCAGCGGGCAAAUUGAACGCGUCUGCGGAACAAAUGAGAUAAGCUGAAGAACAAACAUUCUGACGACCUACCGAAGCCUCCACAACCUGCUCCGGAUCGCCAUACGCAAUGAAGAAAGAGCUUUACACGCACAAGGGUGAGACGGAGACCACAUCAGAAACCAAGCUGAAGCAAAUCAAUGUAUUCGACGACCACGACGAGCGUCGAUGGCAGGCCAAUGCUUCGUUGCCUUUCUCGUGGUGGCGCUCACCAGAGGCCACAGAAGGGGAGGUAAAAGGAGGCGCGAGGGGGUGGGAAAUAGAAAAGGCUGAGGAGGAGGGGCAGGAAGGGGAGGGGAUCCUCCGCGACACCUCCGAUCUGCGAGGAAGACGUUGGCGCGGGUCUAAAAUGAAAUCGGCACCAGGAAUCAACCCCCCGAGCUCCCACGAAUUGCCCAGACCAGUCCGAGAUUAGUCUCGCGAGACUAUUCCAAAACUCCUCAGUAAAACCUGCGAUGGCAUCGUCGCCACUCGGGAAUCCUGCACCAGGAAAUUAUUGGUAAAUGGGCCACAAUCUCUUAACAUAGUCGGAAUCACUCCGCGAGCGAGCGACCACCCUCUCUCAAA
rnacentral:lncRNA from 1 species